AUGUCACUGCUCAGUCAAUGCAUCACCCCACAACGACCGGGUUGUGGGCAAGCUGCCACCUGGGGGGUCCUCACUCUUAUCUUUGGCCAUGGAGCAUUUUGGGGCCCGCAGUGCCAUGCUGCUUCGCCAUGCGCAGGGCUGAGAGUUGGGCAUCCCAUCCCAUCCCAUCCCAUCCCAUCCCAUCCUGCAGCAUCAGGCAUCCCCGCACCACACACCCGUUGUACCCCAGCCACCCCAGGGCCACCCCCACUCCUCCUCCUGCCCUACACACGGGAACCCCCCCCUCAGCCCGGAGCUGUGCCCACCCAGCUUCCAUCAGCAGAGCCGCGGUGCUGCGAGCAGCGGCCGCAUCCCCACCCGCGCGGUUCUGCCUUCCAGAGGCGCUCGCUGAAGGUUAAACGCCGGCAGUGGGGAGAGCCCCGCAACACCCCGCACCCACUCCCCCUCCCUCCACCCCCCCCGCAGCACUCACUGCCCUGGAGGUGCCCGGCUCGGAGCUCCGGUGGCAGCGGCUCUGCGCGUCCCCGCCAGCUGCACGCCGCUCCCCGUGACUUUGCCAUAGGACUCCUCCGGUUCGUCCGCAGGAGCUUUGCAGCAUCCUCCGGUUCAGCUGGAGAAGUUCCCUCGCCGGGGAGGGAGGAGGGAGGGAGGGAUUUAAUGCAGCCCCCGCCUGGGCUGCGGGUGCCGCUGGGCUCAGGCGAAGCCCCUUCGGGUACAGCCCCCUCCCCGCCCCGCGCUGGGCCGCCGGGAUGCGGCGGUGCCCGACGACGAGCAUCUCCCUCUCGGGGCCGCGGCCACCUCCUCCUCCCCCCCGCGUCCCCCGGCUGUCCCGCAGCGCCCGCAGCCUCGCCCGGGCCCAGCAGAGGCGCAGAGUUCCCACGGGGCGCGACGGCCAUCGCCGCUCAGACCCCGCGGGGAUGCGGACACGUUGGGCGCGGGGAUCCCGAGCGGAAUGGGGACCCCCGGCCGAGCCACCCUGCUGACCCCGGCACUGCGGGGGUUUUAGGAUCACAGCGCAGAGCGAUGCCGCUCUGCCCACCCCGCGGCCCCCCCUCCCCCCCGGCCCUACCUCUGUGCGGGGUCAGCCCACGGGGACCCCGCCGUGCUGCCCAUCCCGGCACCAACGUGCAAUGCACGCCCCGCGGUGUGGCUGCCCCGGGUGGCUGCGCUGCUAUUUUUGGCAGCCUCCGAAGAGCUCCUCUCGGGCUAUUAAUAAUGAGAGUGCGAAAUUCGUUUGGCCUCUCCUAUAUAAGGAAAGGUAGAGGCUCAGAGGCAGCUAAAUAUACUGGCGCGUGCGGGAGCGAGUGGGGAGGCUUUGGCACCGGGUGUGGAAAAGGGAUCGUUGGAACAAUGGAAAGACAGACUGAGCUGCGCAGACGGACGGACGGAGGGAUCCCCGGGGUGCCCACAAGCAGCACCCGAUGUCCCAGGGCUGCAUCUCUGUGGCAGAAGCACAGCACAAAGGGCAGAGCAGGAGCAGCCGGGAUGCGCGCAGCACCGCAGUGCCACCAACACAGCCGUGUCCUCCCACACCUCAGCUCCACCGCUGCCCCACUGCUGCCCAUAGACCCGAAAGGCCCCGAGAGCUCCCAGAAGGGACAGCAGAGAUCUGGGGAAUCCCAGUGA
ensembl:lncRNA